CUGCCUUCCCGAAGCAGCCGCAGCGGCGUUGAAACCGGCGGGGCCAAGCAGUCCCCGGGCGCCGGUCGGCCACUGAGCCUGCGCGGGUCUCGCCAACGCAUGCGUAGAAAUGCUGAGGGAGAUCGUUCGGAAACACUUUCCAGUGUUAAAUACACGUGAGACUAUAAUCAAUCUUCAUUCAGAGUAUGCAGUAUUACUCUUUGACGUUUCUUGGUGUCUGAAGUGGGGAUAUGAAGAUGUGAUGCCUUCCACGACCCCAGGACAUUGAGAAUGCAGGCCUGGCCAGCAGAGCCUUUUGGCUCACCACCUUCCCAGACUCCUGGAGGUUGUCUAGGAUGACAUUGAAUCAAGCCUUAAGCUGGCACUCUCAACCAUCAAAGUGAUUCCCCUAAUGUGGCCAUCCUUUCAUCCUAACCUCCAUGAACUAUCACUGAAGCAGAAUGUCCAGCCAUGGCAUGGUGAAGAACACAGGUGGUGCCUGGCUACCUAAUAGUAGCAUCCAGAGUCUUAAUAGCUCAUAACAUUGAGUAACCAUCUAAGGACUAAAAGUCCAUGCAGAGGAAACAGUCUCGGAAAGUAUGAUCAAAGAAUUUCUAUCAAAAUCCUUGUUCAAAAGGAGGAAAUGUGAAAGUCCUAAAUUUUGGGGUGUUUGAUGGUGAGGACUGCUAGCCCAGACUCGGGAUCAAUAAUUUACUGCUUUUGUUAACUCGUAUAGAUCAAACAGACUUAAUACAGACUUAAUUUUGUAACUAAGGAAACAUUUUCUUUGUAACCAAGCUAAGAAAGAAUGUUGUCAGCUUGUUCCCGAAGAGCCCUGAUACAAACAGUGUAUCUAACCUCUAUGUUCCUAGAAAGGAAUGUCUUGCAACCACCGUAUAAACCCUCUACAGUCACCAAGUAGUAACUAAUCAAGAAAGACUCUGUAAACCAAUCAUGUUAAGAUCCCUGCUUCAAGAUAUUCUGCCUCCCACUUCCCUGAAUCAUUGAGCACCUAUCAGAAAUCUUGUAUUGUUAGUCUUGAUUUUACCAUGUAAACAUGCCUUUGUAAUUGCACCACCUUGGAGCACAGCAGUUUCACUUUGUGGACUGUGUGUUUCCUCAGUUGCAAAUAAAUUUGCCUUCAAUAAAACUCUUUGCUUUUGCUUUAUCAGAGUAUGUGGUAUCACUCUUUGAAAUUGUCAACAUUGGAAAAAGGCCAUAUUGUUUGGUGCUAAGCAUCUUGUAAAGAAUAAUUAAAUUGAAAAUAUUUUUGAGCACAUACUAUGUAUAAGGCAUGGUGGGAGGCACUGUGGAUGAUUUAAAACCCUUUAAAGGCUUUCAUACCAUCAGUAAGCAUUGGUUGAGCACAUGUGUGCCAGGCACUGCACUAAAUGCUGGAGGUGCAAAUAUUGAAAACAAAGUUCCUACCUUCAAGAAGCUCACUGUCUACUGAGAGAUACAACCAACGCAAUACAAGCACAGGGUUACAAGUGCUGUGAUAUACAUAUGCAAGGUUUUAGGCUGUGCUGUGUCUUGAGGGAUGAACAGGAAUUAGUUUGGUGAAGCCACUGAAGGACCCUAGCAGGAGAGUGACAUUGUCAUACUUGGCUUUACAAAAAAUCACUUUGGCUGCUGCAGAGAAAAUACAAGAAGUGAGCAAGCUGAAGGGAAAGCAGGCCAGUUAGGAGGAUACUGCCAUAGCAAUUAUCCAGAUGAGAAAUGGUGUGAACUUGAACAAAAAUAAAGUAAGUAAGGAUAGUGAGGAGGGAACUGAUUUGAAAGAUAAUUUUUUUUCUUUUCAGUUCCAGUUGCUGUCCAGUUGAUUUUGACUUAUGGCAACUCCAUGUGUAUCAGAGUAGAAA